rnacentral:rRNA from 1 species
GAUGAACGCUGGCGGCGUGCCUAAUACAUGCAAGUCGAGCGAACAGACGAGUAGCUUGCUCCUCUGACGUUAGCGGCGGACGUGUGAGUAACACGUGUAUAACCUACCUAUAAUACUUGGAUAACUUCGUGAAACCUUAUCUAAUACCGGAUAAUAUAUUGAACCGCAUGGUUCAAUAUUUCAAGACGGUUUUGCUUUCACUUAUAGAUGUAUCCUCUCCGCAUUAGCUAGUUGGUAAGGUAACGGCUUACCAAGGCAACGAUGCGUAGCCGACAUGAGAGGGGGAUCGGCAACACGGGAACUGAGACACGGACAAGAGGAAUACGGGAGGCAGAAGAAGGGAAUGGGCCGAAAUGGGCGAAAGCAUGACGGAGCAACGCCGAGUGAGGGAUGAAGGUCUAAGGAUCGUAAAAAGCUGUUAUGAGGGAAGAAAAAAUGUGUAAGAAAAUAUGCACGUAUUGACGGUAACUAAAAAGAAAGAAACGGCUAACUACGUG